rnacentral:lncRNA from 1 species
AAAAGAGCUAUUACUGAGUCUCAGCGAAUUUUGCCAUGAUCAGCUCUUCCCAGAAGAGAAGGAAGACCAAGGAAAUGAUUUGCUCAUGAGGAAUGAAGACGGCCAUCUUGAGCCCAAACAAAGACUGAAGUCCUCUGGUAUGUGUGUGUUGAAGCAAUGCUGUGCAAUGCUGUGUUAUGUGUUACAGCACUUUAUGAUUUUAUCUCACAGGACUGUUCAUCUCAGCCGUAAUUUAUUCUUUCUAUGUUUUUAUUCUUAAUAAAAAAAAAAUUAUAUACAGCUAUUACAAUUAAAUCAUGUAGGCAAAGUGUGACCCGAAUAUUUUUAAACUUUAAGUAAAAAAAAAAAAAAAAAAAACACCAACUGUUUGUCUUAAAAGAAUACAAGUUUUAUGUAAGUGGUUUACAUUAUUUCAUUGUUUCAUAAAUGUUGUAUUAUAAAUUGUGGAUUGAUAGUUGAUUGGUUUGAAGCCAGGCCUUACACUAAAACACAUUUGUGAGAGAAGUCAGGAACUUUGAAGAUAGAUUAGAGAGGGGAAAAAAGACACAUUUACUGCAACAAUAGAUGAAUUAUAGAGGCAAAAAAUUCUGUCACAUGCUAAGGGGUGUCUCAUGAGCAAGUCCUUUGCCUUAAUUCUUGCAGAAUGAAAUUUUUAUUGCAGUAUUUUAAUUUGUACAGAUGAUCUCAUCAGCCAAAUGGGGGGUUUUGACCAAGUGAUGCUCUUGAAAGGACUGAAAGAAGAGGAUGUGGUAAAUUGUCUUCAGAGAAAAGCUUCUCAAAAGAUCUUAAAACAGCUUGAAGAAUGGUCUGGGAUGUUAGGACUGAGAGAUCCUCUGGCUGAAAACAAGCUACACCACAUCAGUGCUGGAUAUCAACCACAAACUGUUUCCAGACACGAGAGAAGAAGAACACGAUGGGGAGAUGAAACCAGUUUAGAUGUGAUGAUGGGAAUCAUUAUUUUCUGGAACAGUAUCACAUGUCUUAAAUGUAUCACAUGAUCUGUAUCACAGUUGACUGGAUGGAUUAUUUUUACUUUUAAGGACAUUUCAUCACUCAUCUGUGUGAACUGAUUAAUUUAUGAUAUUAAUGAAUUUUUGAUCCUUUAUUAUUUUCCUUGAACUGUGUUUGUCUUGAAGCUACUUUAUCAACUUCAUAGUCUAUGCUUCAAUAAAAUUAAUAUAGUGAAUAUUGUGUGUUGAAAAUUCUUGGUAAAUUCAUAAUUUUACUAGAUACUGUAGGCUACUAUGGGUUUAUUCUACACUUGAAAAACUACAUAUUAAUUACCAGGAUUAUUUUUUGCUUAAACAUUAAUGACACCUGGAACAACAAUACACCAGAAAGUUAGUAUUGUAUAUAUUUAAUCACAAAUAUGCCUAUAUAUAUAAAGGGAUUUACUAGAUGAAUUAUUUUGAAAAGCCAUUUACUUUAUAGUUACAAACACUUGAGGGAUAACUGAGAAUUUAGCAGGAAUGAUCAACAUGGAUCUUGUACUGCAUUAAAUCCAAGAGCACGC